rnacentral:rRNA from 1 species
GACGAACGCUGGCGGCGUGCUUAACACAUGCAAAUCGAACGGUAAGGCCCUUCGGGGUACACGAGUGGCGAACGGGUGAGUAGCACGUGGGUGAUCUGCCCUGCACUUCGGGAUAAGCCUGGGAAACUGGGUCUAAUACCGGAUAGGACCACUGCCUGCAUGGGUGGUGGUGGAAAGCUUUUGCGGUGUGGGAUGGGCCCGCGGCCUACCAGCUUGUUGGUGGGGGGAUGGCCUACCAAGGCGACGACGGGUAGCCGGCCUGAGAGGGUGACCGGCCACACUGGGACUGAGAUACGGCCCAGACUCCUACGGGAGGCAGCAGUGGGGGAUAUUGCACAAUGGGCGCAAGCCUGAUGCAGCGACGCCGCGUGAGGGAUGACGGCCUUCGGGUUGUGAACCUCUUUCAGCACCGACGAAGCGCAAGUGACGGUAGGUGCAGAAGAAGGACCGGCCGACUACGUGCCAGCCGCCGCUGUAA